rnacentral:snoRNA from 1 species
CCCCUCUCAGUGUCAUACCUGGAGAGUUCCCAGUACUCUCUCAGUCUUGACUACAGGAAGGAGAGUCAGGCAGAGGCAUACCCAUUCCAUUCCUAGCUUGGGCAGUGGUUAGCGAGCGGAAGGCAAUCUGCUACAAGU